ACCCUCAAUGGCUCAGUAGCCAGUGUAGAUCCUGUCUUUCGUAAUCAGCAGCUACAUCUGGCUACUGGGUCUCUGAUGGCAUCU
rfam:Macaca mulatta chromosome X, whole genome shotgun sequence.